rnacentral:rRNA from 1 species
AUCUACAGCUAUGCCACCCUGAACAUGCCGGAUCUUCGUCUGAUUUUAGAAGCUAAGCAGGGUAGGGCUGGUUAGUACUUGGAUGGGAGACCACCUAGGAAGACCAGGUGCUGUAGGCA